UACGAAGGGAGCUAGCGUUGUUCGGAAUCACUGGGCGUAAAGCGCACGUAGGCGGGUGUGUCAGUCAGGGGUGAAAUCCCGGAGCUCAACUUCGGAACUGCCUUUGAUACAGCACGUCUUGAGUCCGAUAGAGGUGGGUGGAAUUCCUAGUGUAGAGGUGAAAUUCGUAGAUAUUAGGAAGAACACCGGUGGCGAAGGCGGCCCACUGGAUCGGUACUGACGCUGAGGUGCGAAAGCGUGGGGAGCAAACAGG
rnacentral:rRNA from 1 species